rnacentral:tRNA from 1 species
GGCAUGUAGCUCAGUGGUAGAGUGCUUGCCUAGCAUGCAUGAAGCCCUGGGUUCGAUUCCUCAGUACCA